GACAGAGGGUGCGAACGUUGUUCGGAAUUACUGGGCGUAAAGCGCAUGUAGGCGGCAGCGCAAGUCGGGCGUGAAAUCCCACGGCUCAACCGUGGAAGUGCACUCGAAACUGCGCAGCUAGAGUCCUGGAGAGGAAGGUGGAAUGCUUGGUGUAGAGGUGAAAUUCGUAGAUAUCAAGCGGAACACCAGUGGCGAAGGCGACUUACUGGACACAUAUUGACGCUGAGGUGCGAAAGCGUGGGGAGCAAACAGG
rnacentral:rRNA from 1 species